UUUCCAUGUGGAAUUUCUUGGGGAGGACUACAAUAAUUAUUAAAUGCAUGUAAGAACUGCUUCAACAUUUUAUAUCUUAAUAUAACAAAUUUUACAGCUCAGACCUUUAUUAGCAAAACCAAUUAUACCAAGUAUAACCUCUAUUACACAUUUGGAAUUUCUUGCAGAUAGUAUAGAAACCAGUUGAACUCAAACACUAAUUAUGAAAUUUUCAAAGAAACAUACUUUUGUAUAAACAAUCCUGAUAUAUCCAGUUGCUGCUACGUUAAUCUAAAACAUUUGUGAGAAGAUUCAAACGAGGCAAUCUGGUCUCGUGGGAAGGAACUAGGACCCAGAAUCAGAGGAGCAGCUGAUUAGUUACCUGAUUAAAUAGGCUAUACUAUGAAGAUCUGAUUCAGAACUUGAUAAAUAUCCUGAUUAUUCCCUAUGCAUGUUUUGGGAAUGAAGCAAAGCAUCCUCAGUUUUCAAACUGGCGCUCUUCCCCAACCUUGAGGACCACUAGGCACUUUGUUUUUAAAGCCACAGUUACUUUUAUGGAGAAGUAUUGUGAAAAAAGGGAGGCAUCUGAGGAGCGGAAACAGAGAAAUGAGUGACUGAGAUCAGUGUCUUAUUUUGACCAUCUUUUCCAAGUGCUGCAUCCUCCCAAACACAGCAUGAACUCAACACUUAAUAAAGCUGCAGUCUACGUGUUUUAUUUGUGUAAGAAACUAAGUCCAAAACAUUCUGCAACACGAGUAAAAAUUCACUUCUGCAAUAUAUUAAACACACAUGAACACAGUGUUUUCAGUUUGAAGCAAGAUACUGUGGACUCUAAAAUAUCCAGUAACUAUAUUUAGUAUGAAGAGUGGAUGUUUAUAUCUAGUUGGUCAACACAUUGAUUCUAGUCAUCCACUUAAGAAUAACAGGGCGUGGCAAAUCUGUAGCCUAGGAAAACACAAACUCAGUUUCUUCGUAAUAGAAACUGACACGUUUUGUUUACAAAGAUUUUAAAAAACAAUUAUGCAUUCAUAUACUAUAAAAACGAAAAUAAGUUUAUGGUUUGAUUUAUUUCCGUUGAAUUUUAAAGAACUUUGUAGCAAGGUUUAAGAUUGCUUAAAGAGCCUGAGUUCAGAUUCCUAAAAUAGAGCAUUGAGAAGGAAGCAUAAAUCUCUAGGAUAUUUUCUUCAAAUUAUCUUUAGACAUGACCAAAUAAAGUGUAACUACCUCUGUAAAACAAUAGUUACACUCCAAGAGAAUUAAACUAUAAUGACAUAUAUGGCAUGAAACUUUAGUCUUUCUCUGGGAAAAACGGGAGGAGGGAAGGUUUGGAAGAACUACAGGAUACUAGUUUCAUCAUGAAUUUGGUGAUUUGUUCCAAAGUAAAUUGCAAUAAAAAUGGGGGGUGGGGAGAAAUGAUGGAAAGAUAGCUGUAAAGAGCUUUACUUAAAAUUGUCUUAGCUGUUUAGCUAGGAACUGUAAUUGGAAGGACUGGAGGAUGUAUUCCGCUGGCUUUAUUCUCCAGGCUCAACAGGCCCUCCAAUUUGAAUAAACCUGGA